rfam:Fictibacillus phosphorivorans strain G25-29, complete genome.
AGCAACCACAGGGGGAGUCCUUUAAAGGGCUGAGAGGGGAGUGUACUCCCGACCCUUUGAACCUGAAGCUGGAUCAUACCUGCGUAGGGAUGUGGAGUCGUAUGACU